rnacentral:rRNA from 1 species
UACGUAGGGUGCAAGCGUUGUCCGGAAUUAUUGGGCGUAAAGAGCUCGUAGGCGGUCUGUCGCGUCGGAUGUGAAAAUCCAGGGCUCAACCCUGGACCUGCAUUCGAUACGGGCAGACUAGAGUUCGGUAGGGGAGACUGGAAUUCCUGGUGUAGCGGUGAAAUGCGCAGAUAUCAGGAAGAACACCGACGGCGAAGGCAGCUCGCUGGGACGGUACUGACGCUGAGGCGCGAAAGCGUGGGGAGCGAACAGG